UACGGGGGGGGCAAGCGUUGUUCGGAAUUACUGGGCGUAAAGGGCUCGUAGGUGGCCAAGUAAGUCAGACGUGAAAUCCCUCAGCUUAACUGGGGAACUGCGUCUGAUACUGGAUGGCUUGAGUUCGGGAGAGGGAUGCGGAAUUCCUGGUGUAGCGGUGAAAUGCGUAGAUAUCAGGAGGAACACCGGUUGCGAAGGCGGGUCUCUGGGCCGAUACUGACGCUGAGGAGCGAAAGCGUGGGGAGCGAACAGG
rnacentral:rRNA from 1 species